AGACUAUAGACGCCUUAGUGUGAGAUCAAGGGACUCCAGACAUCUGCAGGAGGCUUCAGGUGACUCCAGCCGUCUCCAAGUGACUUCAGAUGGCUUGACGUGGCCCCAGACGUCUUCAGUUAACUUCGAGUGGCUUGAGGGGACUUCAGAUGACUCCAGAUGUCUUCAAGUGACUUCAGAUGACUCCAGAUGUCUUCAAGUGACUUCAAAUGACUUCAGAUGACUUCAUGUGGUUCUAGACGUCUUCAGGUGACUUCGAGUGACUUCAGGUGACCUCAAGAGACUAUAGACGCCUUCGUGUGAGAUCAGCGGACUCCAGACAUCUGCAGGAGGCAUCAGGUGACUCCAGCCGUCUCCAGGUGACUUCAGAUGGCUUGACGUGGCCCCAGACGUCUUCAGUUAACUUGGAGUGGCUUGAGGGGACUUCAGAUGACUCCAGAUGUCUUCAAGUGACUUCAGAUGACUCCAGAUGUCUUCGAGUGACUUCAAAUGACUUCAGGUGACUCCAGAUGUCUUCAUGUGGCUCUAGACGUCUUCAGGUAACUUCGAGUGGCUUCAGGGGACUUCGGAUGUCUUCACGUGACUUCAGGUGGCUCUAGACGUCUUCGGGUGACUUCGGGUGACUUCAGGUGACUCCAGAUGUAUUCAAGUGACUUCAGGAGACUUCAGUCCUCAUCAGGUGACCUCAAGAGACUAUAGACGCCUUCGUGUGAGAUCAGCGGACUCCAGACAUCUGCAGGAGGCAUCAGGUGACUCCAGCCGUCUCCAGGUGACUUCAGAUGGCUUGACGUGGCCCCAGACGUCUUCAGUUAACUUGGAGUGGCUUGAGGGGACUUCAGAUGACUCCAGAUGUCUUCAAGUGACUUCAGAUGUCUUCAAGUGACUUCAGAUGACUCCAGAUGUCUUCGAGUGACUUCAAAUGACUUCAGGUGACUCCAGAUGUCUUCAUGUGGCUCUAGACGUCUUCAGGUAACUUCGAGUGGCUUUAGGGGACUUCGGAUGUCUUCAUGUGACUUCAGGUGGCUCUAGACGUCUUCAGGUGACUUCGAGUGACUUCAGGUGACUCCAGAUGUAUUCAAGUGACUUCAGGAGACUUCAGUCCUCAUCAGGUGACCUCAAGAGACUAUAGACGCCUUCGUGUGAGAUCAGCGGACUCCAGACAUCUGCAGGAGGCAUCAGGUGACUCCAGCCGUCUCCAGGUGACUUCAGAUGGCUUGACGUGGCCCCAGACGUCUUCAGUUAACUUGGAGUGGUUUGAGGGGACUUCAGAUGACUCCAGAUGUCUUCAAGUGACUUCAGAUGUCUUCAAGUGACUUCAGAUGACUCCAGAUGUCUUCGAGUGACUUCAAAUGACUUCAGGUGUCUUCAUGUGGCUCUAGACGUCUUCAGGUAACUUCGAGUGGCUUCAGGGGACUUCGGAUGUCUUCAUGUGACUUCAGGUGGCUCUAGACGUCUUCAGGUGACUUCGAGUGACUUCAGGUGACUCCAGAUGU